rnacentral:tRNA from 1 species
GAGGAUAUAGCUCAGUGGUAGAGUGCUUGCCUAGCAUGUGGGAAGAACUGGGUUUGAUUCUCAGUACCACA